rnacentral:rRNA from 1 species
UUUAUGGAGAGUUUGAUCCUGGCUCAGGAUGAACGCUGGCGGCGUGCCUAAUACAUGCAAGUCGAGCGAACGGACGAGAAGCUUGCUUCUCUGAUGUUAGCGGCGGACGGGUGAGUAACACGUGGAUAACCUACCUAUAAGACUGGGAUAACUUCGGGAAACCGGAGCUAAUACCGGAUAAUAUUUUGAACCGCAUGGUUCAAAAGUGAAAGACGGUCUUGCUGUCACUUAUAGAUGGAUCCGCGCUGCAUUAGCUAGUUGGUAAGGUAACGGCUUACCAAGGCAACGAUGCAUAGCCGACCUGAGAGGGUGAUCGGCCACACUGGAACUGAGACACGGUCCAGACUCCUACGGGAGGCAGCAGUAGGGAAUCUUCCGCAAUGGGCGAAAGCCUGACGGAGCAACGCCGCGUGAGUGAUGAAGGUCUUCGGAUCGUAAAACUCUGUUAUUAGGGAAGAACAUAUGUGUAAGUAACUGUGCACAUCUUGACGGUACCUAAUCAGAAAGCCACGGCUAACUACGUGCCAGCAGCCGCGGUAAUACGUAGGUGGCAAGCGUUAUCCGGAAUUAUUGGGCGUAAAGCGCGCG